CACUAGCAACAAUAAGUCGUUGGGCCCAACCAUCGGCCCAAAAUGCUUAAGCUCAGUUAUUAUUACUAGUGUCUAAGUCUCUUAUAUACCCAAUCACAUCCCCAUUCCUAUCCGAUGUGGGAUUAUUGGGGUGUGACAGACUCCCCCUGUUAAGGCCCUGACGUCCUCGUCAGUCCAAUCACACACAGAGCCUAAAAUCACCAGACGAU
rnacentral:lncRNA from 1 species